CUCUCUCUCUCUCUCUCUCGUUCCUGCGUCGCCACCGCCGGCCGUCGAUCUUCCUCUGCCAUCACCACUGCUCAUUCCGGCGGAGCUGGAGAUGUACUUGCCGUCGCUCCGCCCUGCGCCGCCUUCACCUGAUUGUGCAUCGACGAGCAAAUCUCCGCCAAAAGCUUCAGCGCCGAUGUUGAUCUCGCGGCGACCAAGGGCGGAAGACGGCGGUGAGUCCAUGGAUUGCAAUUUCGCUGCUUCUUCCUUCGCCUGAUUCCGCAUUCGACGAGCAAAUAUCCUCCUUCGCCGCUUCCUCCUUCGCCUGAUUCUGCCUUCGACGAGCAAUUUUACCACUUCCUCCUUCGCCUGAGUCCAUGGACUACAAUUUCGCCUGAUUCCGCCCUACGCCGCCUUCGCCUGAUUCCGCCUCGACGAACAAAUCUCCGCCAAAAGCUUCAGCGCCGACGUUGACUUCAAUUACCAGGUUCAAAUCGUCGAGGAAGGCAACAAUUGGUUUAUUGGUUAACCUAAUUCUUCGCCCGACGAAAUAGAAUUUUUGUUCCGGUGAAAUAAUGAUGGAAUUCCUAUGAGGAAGAAAGGGGGAGAGGAGACGUGUUCUGCCAUGGAAGGAGGUGGUUGGUGGGGUUUGGAGUGGGAGAUGUUUUUUUACAGCAGUGGGGUGUUUGGGGGAGUUUUUUAAUUGGAGCAUAGAUGAUCAGUAAAAAUUAGAGAAAUUUCCAAAA
rnacentral:lncRNA from 1 species